ACUUGUCAACCAAAAAAUAUAUGGAGGUAGAUUAAAAAUAAAAUUGCAAAUGAAAACUACAUUGUAUCCAUUUUUAACACUCUUAAUUGGUAAAGAAGUUGUUACUCAGUUAUACAGUGCUUGCCUAGCAUGUGUGAGGCACUGGGUUCAAUUCUCAGCACCUCAUAUAAAUAAAAAAUAAAACUCCAUCAACAAUAAAAAUUUAUAUAUAUAUAUAUAUAUAUAUAUAUAUAUAUAUAUAUAUAUAUAAUAAUCAGGUGUUGAUAGAAGGAUGGUACAAUAGGCAGCCUUAUAUCCUAACAGAAUGACAAUUUCUCAGAUGCUACUCUUAGUAUCUUACACGAAAAUUUAUAAUCUUCCCUUCACCACAACCUUCCCCAUAGUUCAACUUCUGAUUUCCCUACCCUGCUUUUGCCCUUUGCUCUUUUAUCUUUUUUUACUUACUCUUUCUAAUAAACCUUUGAGAUAAAUACUAUUUGUAUUAGGUACCAUUACUGCCUUAAUAAAUUACCACAAUACAAUGACUGAUCAACAUGCAUUAACUAUGUUAUAGUUCUCAGGUUCAAAGAUCCAAUGUCAUCUCCUCUGGGAUAAGAUGAUUCUGUCAGCCAGGAUGGUCCCUUUUGAAGGCUCUAGGGGAAAUAAAUUUGCCUAAUUUUUUCAUCUUGUAGAGGCUGCCAGCAUCCCUUGGCUUCUGUGUCCUUUGUCACAUCAAUUGAACAUUAGUCACAUCGCAUCUGCUCUCCCCUUAUAUCCUCUCCUUUUCCUUUUAUACAAACCUUAUUGAUCCUGGGUGUGUUGGUCCACUCCGAUGAUCCCAUUGCCUCAGGAGUCUGAGGUGGAAUGAUCAUAAGUUGACAGCCUCAGCAAGGGAGGCCCUAAGCAUCUUAGAGAGAUCCUGUCUUAAAAUCAAGAGUUCUGGGGAGUAACUUGGUGGUUAAGCAUGCUUGAGUUCAAUCUCUGGUAACAAUGCCCCUGCAAACAAACAAAACCUUGAUGAUUACAUUGAGUAUACCUGCAUGACACAGGAGAAUCUAUCCAAGUUAUGACCCUUGACAUAAUCACACCUACAGUGUCCCGUUUAUCAUGUAAAGUAACAAAUUCAUGGUUUCAAAGGUUUCGAGGAUUAAGAUCAAGAUGGUGUGGGGUGUGAAGUUAUUAUUAAGCCUAUGACAUUAUUAUUAUAUUGCAUUACUACCAAGAUAAUUCAGACAAGGCUUUGUUAAGUAUAUUGUUGGAGAUCAGACAUCGGAACAAGGAAGUGAACCCCAGGGUCAUGUGUCUUCAAAAGGAAGGUUUCUAAUCAGUUGAUUUUAAUUUUUAUUAGGCUCAACAUGUUUUAAUUUUAUGUCUUUAUUGUCAGGAAUUUGAUAUACAGUUAAUAUUUAUUAAUAUUUAAUGGAGAGGGAAUAUAUUUUCAGAUUUCAAAGGGAAGAAACCAGACUUAAUACCAAGGAUCAUGAUUCAGGAAGGAAUGCAAUUUUUUAAAAGCAUCACAGUGCACUAAGAAUUUAGUAGACAUAGGCCAUGAGAAAUUUUUUUUUUUGGCGGGGGCACUGGAAGUUGUUGGGAAUAUAGGCAUGCAGCCCAGCACCAGAAUGUCUUGAGGAUUCUAUGAAAAACUAUUUAAAAUCUAGAAAUCUAAGCUCACCAACUUUCAACCAAUUAAUAAGAAAAUAUCAGGAAAUUGAUUUCCUGUAUUAAGGGUCUUCAGAGAAAAAUACAGAGAAUUAAAUGAUAGAUAUCUAUAGAUGAAAAAUAGAUGACAAGGAGUUUAUUACAGGAAUUGUCUCACACAGUUGUGGAGACUAAAGAAUUCCAUGCUAGGUGACCUGUAGUCUGGAGAACAAGGAAAGCCAGUGGUGUGACUCAGUGCAAGUCUAAGAGCCUGAGCAGAGAAAUGCUCUUUUGAAAACACACCCAAGGGCUUAACCAGAAAUUAUGCAAUUGAGUAUCACUUAAUCCAGUGAAGUGCAUAUCUAAAAUUAACCAUUGCGUCUCCCAUACACUUUUUGGGGGGUUGAGGGGUGGUGUUAUUUAGAACAAGAGAACAAAAGAAGACAAAAGAGAAGCUGGAUGCAGACUAUAAGUUCGAACAUGAUUGUCACUUUUGUAUUUAAUUUUGUGUGUGCUUUACAUGUAAAAUUAAGAAAUAAAAUGAGUAAAAUAAAACCAUGUUAACACAUCACUUUAAAAAAAGAAAAAGAAGCAUGUCAGAGACUGUGGAGUGUAGGUCGAAGAGGGAGGAGGGGAAAAAUUUGAUUUAUGGAUACUAAGAUAUAGAUUGGAGAAAUAAGUCCUGGCAUUUUGUUGUGCAACACAGUGAUGAUAGAUAAUGUACUGCUCAUUUCAAAACAGCUAGAAGAAUGGAUUUGGAAUAUUUUCAUCACUAAUAAAUGAUAAAUAUUUGAGAAGACAGAUAUUUCUACCUUGAUUUGAAUACUACACAAAAUACACAGAUAUCAAAACAUGAUAAAUACGUGUGAUUCUUAAGUGUCAACUAAAAAUGAUAUGUAAACAAAGCAUUGCCAGAAC
rnacentral:lncRNA from 1 species